GGGCCUAUAGCUCAGUUGGUUAGAGCAGCAGACUCAUAAUCUGCGGGUCGAAGGUUCGAGCCCUUCUGGGCCCACGA
rnacentral:tRNA from 1 species